rnacentral:rRNA from 1 species
UUAAGCGACUAAGCGUACACGGUGGAUGCCCUGGCAGUCAGAGGCGAUGAAGGACGUGCUAAUCUGCGAAAAGCGUCGGUAAGGUGAUAUGAACCGUUAUAGCCGGCGAUGUCCGAAUGGGGAAACCCAGUGCAAUUCGUUGCACUAUCGUUAACUGAAUACAUAGGUUAACGAGGCGAACCGGGGGAACUGAAACAUCUAAGUACCCCGAGGAAAAGAAAUCAACCGAGAUUCCCCCAGUAGCGGCGAGCGAACGGGGAGCAGCCCAGAGUCUGAAUCAGCUUGUGUGUUAGUGGAACGGUCUGGAAAGUCCGACGGUACAGGGUGAUAGUCCCGUACACCAAAAUGCACAGGCUGUGAACUCGAAGAGUAGGGCGGGACACGUGGUAUCCUGUCUGAAUAUGGGGGGACCAUCCUCCAAGGCUAAAUACUCCUGACUGACCGAUAGUGAACCAGUACCGUGAGGGAAAGGCGAAAAGAACCCCGGCGAGGGGAGUGAAAAAGAACCUGAAACCGUGUACGUACAAGCAGUGGGAGCACCUUCGGGUGUGACUGCGUACCUUUUGUAUAAUGGGUCAGCGACUUAUAUUCUGUAGCAAGGUUAACCGUAUAGGGGAGCCGCAGGGAAACCGAGUCUUAACUGGGCGUUAAGUUGCAGGGUAUAGACCCGAAACCCGGUGAUCUAGCCAUGGGCAGGUUGAAGGUUGGGUAACACUAACUGGAGGACCGAACCGACUAAUGUUGAAAAAUUAGCGGAUGACUUGUGGCUGGGGGUGAAAGGCCAAUCAAACCGGGAGAUAGCUGGUUCUCCCCGAAAGCUAUUUAGGUAGCGCCUCGUGAACUCAUCUUCGGGGGUAGAGCACUGUUUCGGCUAGGGGGUCAUCCCGACUUACCAACCCGAUGCAAACUACGAAUACCGAAGAAUGUUAUCACGGGAGACACACGGCGGGUGCUAACGUCCGUCGUGAAGAGGGAAACAACCCAGACCGCCAGCUAAGGUCCCAAAGUCAUGGUUAAGUGGGAAACGAUGUGGGAAGGCACAGACAGCCAGGAUGUUGGCUUAGAAGCAGCCAUCAUUUAAAGAAAGCGUAAUAGCUCACUGGUCGAGUCGGCCUGCGCGGAAGAUGUAACGGGGCUAAACCAUGCACCGAAGCUGCGGCAGCGACACUAUGUGUUGUUGGGUAGGGGAGCGUUCUGUAAGCCUGCGAAGGUGACCUGUGAGGGUUGCUGGAGGUAUCAGAAGUGCGAAUGCUGACAUAAGUAACGAUAAAGCGGGUGAAAAGCCCGCUCGCCGGAAGACCAAGGGUUCCUGUCCAACGUUAAUCGGGGCAGGGUGAGUCGACCCCUAAGGCGAGGCCGAAAGGCGUAGUCGAUGGGAAACAGGUUAAUAUUCCUGUACUUGGUGUUACUGCGAAGGGGGGACGGAGAAGGCUAUGUUAGCCGGGCGACGGUUGUCCCGGUUUAAGCAUGUAGGCUGAUUGUCCAGGCAAAUCCGGAUAAUCAAGGCUGAGGUGUGAUGACGAGGCACUACGGUGCUGAAGUAACAAAUGCCCUGCUUCCAGGAAAAGCCUCUAAGCAUCAGGUAACAUCAAAUCGUACCCCAAACCGACACAGGUGGUCAGGUAGAGAAUACCAAGGCGCUUGAGAGAACUCGGGUGAAGGAACUAGGCAAAAUGGUGCCGUAACUUCGGGAGAAGGCACGCUGGUGUGUAGGUGAAGUCCCUGCGGAUGGAGCUGAGACCAGUCGAAGAUACCAGCUGGCUGCAACUGUUUAUUAAAAACACAGCACUGUGCAAACACGAAAGUGGACGUAUACGGUGUGACGCCUGCCCGGUGCCGGAAGGUUAAUUGAUGGGGUUAUCCGUAAGGAGAAGCUCUUGAUCGAAGCCCCGGUAAACGGCGGCCGUAACUAUAACGGUCCUAAGGUAGCGAAAUUCCUUGUCGGGUAAGUUCCGACCUGCACGAAUGGCGUAAUGAUGGCCAGGCUGUCUCCACCCGAGACUCAGUGAAAUUGAACUCGCUGUGAAGAUGCAGUGUACCCGCGGCAAGACGGAAAGACCCCGUGAACCUUUACUAUAGCUUGACACUGAACAUUGAGCCUUGAUGUGUAGGAUAGGUGGGAGGCUUUGAAGCGUGGACGCCAGUCUGCGUGGAGCCAACCUUGAAAUACCACCCUUUAAUGUUUGAUGUUCUAACGUUGGCCCCUGACCGGGGUUGCGGACAGUGUCUGGUGGGUAGUUUGACUGGGGCGGUCUCCUCCCAAAGCGUAACGGAGGAGCACGAAGGUUAGCUAAUCCUGGUCGGACAUCAGGAGGUUAGUGCAAUGGCAUAAGCUAGCUUGACUGCGAGCGUGACGGCGCGAGCAGGUGCGAAAGCAGGUCAUAGUGAUCCGGUGGUUCUGAAUGGAAGGGCCAUCGCUCAACGGAUAAAAGGUACUCCGGGGAUAACAGGCUGAUACCGCCCAAGAGUUCAUAUCGACGGCGGUGUUUGGCACCUCGAUGUCGGCUCAUCACAUCCUGGGGCUGAAGUAGGUCCCAAGGGUAUGGCUGUUCGCCAUUUAAAGUGGUACGCGAGCUGGGUUUAGAACGUCGUGAGACAGUUCGGUCCCUAUCUGCCGUGGGCGCUGGAGAAUUGAGGGGGGCUGCUCCUAGUACGAGAGGACCGGAGUGGACGCAUCACUGGUGUUCGGGUUGUCAUGCCAAUGGCACUGCCCGGUAGCUAAAUGCGGAAGAGAUAAGUGCUGAAAGCAUCUAAGCACGAAACUUGCCCCGAGAUGAGUUCUCCCUGAGACUUUAAGUCUCCUGAAGGAACGUUGAAGACGACGACGUUGAUAGGCCGGGUGUGUAAGCGCAGCGAUGCGUUGAGCUAACCGGUACUAAUGAACCGUGAGGCUUAACCU